rnacentral:rRNA from 1 species
UACGUAGGGGGCAAGCGUUGUCCGGAAUUAUUGGGCGUAAAGAGCGCGCAGGCGGCUUUGUAAGUCUACCGUGAAAGCUUACGGCUCAACCGUAACGGGUCGGUGGAUACUGCAAAGCUUGAGGGCAGGAGAGGAAAGUGGAAUUCCCAGUGUAGCGGUGAAAUGCGUAGAUAUUGGGAGGAACACCAGUGGCGAAGGCGACUUUCUGGACUGUUACUGACGCUGAGGCGCGAAAGCUGGGGGAGUGAACGGG